CUGUGUGUGUGUGCGUAUGUUGCCGCCUGAUUGUACGUCAGAUAAAAACGCUGAAGGUGUUUAUCAAUAUCUGCGUAGGUGACAUUUGCAACGCGAGCAAAGGGUGAUGAAAUACGCUGAAUUGUUGCCCUGUCUUUGUGCCUCUUCCGCCACAUUAAAUCAACAAUGUGUUGCUGGGGGUAAAACUAAACGGAUACUGCGCUUCAGUUGUAGCCUUCAAAAAAAGUGAGGACAUAAAAAGGCCAGCUACACGGAAGGCCCAUAGCCUUGGAGUGCCUUAAAUAUUUCUCUCUGUUUAAGAGCAACACCAAGUGACGCAACACCUUGAAAGAAAGACUUUGCUGCAAGUUGGGGAACUCACAGCUGGCCACGGAGGACUUUGCAUCGCGCUAAAACUGUACUCUCUCAUUGUAUUGAAUUUUCAACGUAUUAAAGGUAGCGUUUGGUCUACUACCUCCAAGUUGCAAUUGCAGGCUCAACACAUCCACCGGCGAUUGCCUAGCAAGUUUCCGCUCCCCCUCUCCCUCCUACCAAGCCUGCCCACAACAGGCUAGGGCACAGCUGGCUAGACCUGCUUGGGCCACCCUUUGACCUGAUCCAAUCAAAUCUAAAAGCAUUCGUCCUUUGUAUUGUUACACACGAACGCACUCUUUUUUUUACCCUGGGAAGUGCGUCAUAUUCUGAGAGCAGGCCAUUUCCUGUUUCAUCAGGUCUCAGAGCGAUCCCCUCCGGAGCCGGGUUCGGAGACGCUGUACAAGAGGGGAACAGAAGCAGCGGGCCGCUGGGCUCUGUCGGGCACACAGACGUUCAUAAUGCAGGCAACGGUUCCCUGCUAUUAGGAGAGAGUGACCCACGCUACAACCAAAAGGUGUUCAAAUGCUCCCUGUGUCCGGUUCGGUGUAUUAUAUGUAUUCACAUAUGCAUUUGUGUGUAUUUAAUGUAGGAUGGUAUAUAUAUAUAUAUAGACUUAUGUAUAUAUUGAAUAGGAUUUUAUGUCUGUUUGCAAGCUUGUGAGAAUGAAUUAUCAGAGUUGAGUUUGUUCUGUGAUGAAUAUGUUGUGACCCUUGGGGGUCAGAAUAUACAGAGCACACAAAAGUGGAAACUAUUUUUCCUUCCUACUGAAAUGGCAAUUUAAACUCCUGUGAAUGUACCCUCGCUCAUGGUUAAUGGAGCAAUACUUGCACCUCCUGAAAAACAGCACACAUAAUGAUACUAGCCUGACAUUGACCGUGGAAAAUGUAUUUACACACUGGCCACAAUGGGAUUUGUUAUCACAUGUUGGAAGGUGAAUUAAGGUGUGUACUUGUGUGGUUGUGCGUAUGUGUUUGUGUCUGUAUGUGUUGUGUUGUGUGUGUGUGUGUGUGUGUGUGU